rnacentral:rRNA from 1 species
AUGAACGCUGGCGGCGUGCCUAAUACAUGCCAGUAGAACGCUGAAGGAAGGAGCUUGCUCUUUCCGGAUGAGUUGCGAACGGGUGAGUAACGCGUAGGUAACCUGCCUGGUAGCGGGGGAUAACUAUUGGAAACGAUAGCUAAUACCGCAUAACAGUAGAUGUUGCAUGAUAUCUACUUAAAAGGUGCAAUUGCACCACUACCAGAUGGACCUGCGUUGUAUUAGCUAGUUGGUGAGGUAACGGCUCACCAAGGCGACGAUACAUAGCCGACCUGAGAGGGUGAUCGGCCACACUGGGACUGAGACACGGCCCAGACUCCUACGGGAGGCAGCAGUAGGGAAUCUUCGGCAAUGGACGGAAGUCUGACCGAGCAACGCCGCGUGAGUGAAGAAGGUUUUCGGAUCGUAAAGCUCUGUUGUAAGAGAAGAACGAGUGUGAGAGUGGAAAGUUCACACUGUGACGGUAUCUUACCAGAAAGGGACGGCUAACUACGUG